CCUCUCAAGUCCUGUAUGCUGACUUCCUCUAACAAAGGGAAUAAAAUAGGAGGAUAAAGAAAGACGAGAGAGAGCGGCCUCUUUCUUGUAUUUCGCGAGGCACUACUUGUAUUCCUAGCGGACAUUCUGCCUUCAGCUCUCGUUCCUUGUGCCCUUGUUUCCCCUCUUUAUCUCUCUCUCUUCCUCCUCUACAACACUAGUCCUCGUUGGAAGGUACGGACUUGGAGAAAGUUAAUGAUCAAACAGGAUGCAUACCAAUGGCGCCCUGCAGUACAAACUGGUCUACUUGCUAGACGAGGAGUGGGAAUGUGGUUUCUUCAGUAAUGGUGAGUAUUUGCUGAAUUCCUUAUUUGUUUCCCCACUGAUGAGCACAUGUGUGCUUUUCUGCUGUUGGACUGAGGCUC
ensembl:lncRNA